CUCGCCGCGCCCGAGGCGGCGGCGGCUUCUUCCACCUCUCCAUUUUCGUAACCAAAAAAGAAAGAAAAAAAAACCCUAACGCAAAUCAAAAGGCGGGCGAUGUCGCUCGUCUGAUUCUCGCGGGCGUGCGGCCGAUCGCGAUCUCUCUGCAUUAUCAUGUUUGUGGAGCCGCGGUGCCCCCGACAGACUAAAUGCUUCUCUCGACCGAGUCCACCACAUCACCCCUGGACCGCUCCCCAAUGCUUUCCAUCAUCAUUUACCCGAGGGUAAUCCUAUGGAAGAACAUGGUUGAUGUGGCGAACCAGGUCCAGGAAUAAUUUCUCGACGGUGCACACUGCUCGUAGAUCGUCCGUCGCCUUGUAUCCGAUCACAUGAGGUACGGUUACCAUGUUUACAUUAUCAUGUUCUCUCCUUCUAUAUAUAUAUAUAUAUAUAUAUAUAUAUAUAUAUAUAUAUAUAUAUAUAUAUAUAUAUAUAGAUGCAAAUAUAUGCUGUAUUUGUUUUGAAUCUUUCCCUACAGUAGAACAUCAUGUAUUUAAUUAAUGUAUAGCUAGGAUCUAUAGUCAAAUAAUUAAAUUAAUAUAAUCCGAAUUAUUAAUGGGUUUAAUGUACUAAACAUCGCCCUAACCGUUCAAUAAUUAGCUAAUAAUACCCAUCCAUGUAUUGUCACUCCGAACUAUUAAAUGCUUCAAACCACUCACUGCACGAAUUUAUAGCAUCAUUGUCAUAGAGGGAGUAAUAACAAUCAUCAUCAACCAUCGGUUUGGUCCUAGGUUUCUGUAAUGGUAAAUGGCUCAGUUGCCCUUAUGAUCUUUUAAUUCUGAAAUUCCUAACUUUUUAACUCACAGAUAUCAGUAAGAGUAAUUAAAUUAAUUAAUUGUUAAUAAAAUUGUUACAUUUAAUUAAAUCUUUAAUUUUA